rnacentral:rRNA from 1 species
CAACGAAUCUUCCCCAAUGCCGGAAACGGUGAGGGAGCGACGCCGCGUGAAGGACGAAGUUCUUCGGAAUGUAAACUUCUGUAAGGGUCAUGAAAGUCGAGCGCCUAACAUGCGCAAAGAUUGAUCUGAUCCCUAAAAGGGGCGGCUAACUCUGUGCCAGCAGCCGCGGUAAUACAGAGGCCCCAAGCGUUACUGAGAAUCACUGGGUUUAAAGGGUGCGUAGGUGGUCCGUUAAGUUCGUUGUGAAAUCCCUGGGCUCAACCCAGGAAAUGCUUCGAAUACUGGCGGACUUGAGGCCAGUAGAGGUCACUGGAACUGACGGUGGAGCGGUGAAAUGCGUAGAUAUCGUCAGGAACGCCGGUGGUGAAGACGGGUGACUGGGCUGGUUCUGACACUGAGGCACGAAAGCGUGGGGAGCGAACGGGAUUAGAUACCCCCGUAGUCC